CUGUUAGUGUAGUGUUGCCGUACUUCAGUUUCUUUUCAGCUUUUAGAGUAGUACUCAUUCUUGCAGACUUACGACUUACACGCAGGCAGGUAAGUAUAAACUCCCGUGUACGUCGUGUGGAGAGUGAAUUAUUAUUAUCAAAUUCCUAAACACGUCAGUCAAAAUCAUGAAAUUGUUUUCGUUAGUUGUCAUGGUAGUUUCUGUGGGAUUGGCGGCAUCAAAAUGUGGAAAAAAUGAGUACUACCAAAGCGAUACUUGUAUGGAGCACUGUACUUUUACAAUAUCGGCAGACGACCGUUAUAUUCUAGGUACAUGUGUAAUAUCUUCUAAAUAUAAAGUCAAGUAUGGUU